rnacentral:tRNA from 17 species
AUUUAUAUAGUUUAACAAAAACAUUACAUUUUCAAUGUAAAAAUAAAAAUUUAUUUUUUAUAAAUA